CGCGGCCUAUCAGCUUGUUGGUGGGGUAAUGGCCUACCAAGGCGACGACGGGUAGCCGGCCUGAGAGGGCGACCGGCCACACUGGGACUGAGACACGGCCCAGACUCCUACGGGAGGCAGCAGUGGGGAAUAUUGCACAAUGGGCGAAAGCCUGAUGCAGCGACGCCGCGUGAGGGAUGACGGCCUUCGGGUUGUAAACCUCUUUCAGCAGGGAAGAAGCUUUUGUGACGGUACCUGCAGAAGAAGCACCGGCUAACUACGUGCCAGCAGCCGCGGUAAUACGUAGGGUGCGAGCGUUGUCCGGAAUUAUUGGGCGUAAAGAGCUUGUAGGCGGUUUGUCGCGUCUGCUGUGAAAAUUCAGGGCUUAACCCUGGACGUGCAGUGGGUACGGGCAGACUAGAGUAUGGUAGGGGAGACUGGAAUUCCUGGUGUAGCGGUGGAAUGCGCAGAUAUCAGGAGGAACACCGAUGGCGAAGGCAGGUCUCUGGGCCAUUACUGACGCUGAGAAGCGAAAGCAUGGGGAGCGAACAGGAUUAGAUACCCUGGUAGUCCAUGCCGUAAACGUUGGGCGCUAGGCGUGGGUCUCAUUCCACGAGAUCCGUGUCGCAGCUAACGCAUUAAGCGCCCCGCCUGGGGAGUACGG
rnacentral:rRNA from 1 species